UGUCAUUCAGUCCAAGUCCAAAGGCCAGAGAACCAGGAGCUCUGAUAUCUGAGGGCAGGAGAAGAUGAACGUCCCAGCUCAAGAA